AUUGAACGCUGGCGGCAGGCCUAACACAUGCAAGUCGAACGGUAACAGGAAGAAGCUUGCUUCUUUGCUGACGAGUGGCGGACGGGUGAGUAAUGUCUGGGAAACUGCCUGAUGGAGGGGGAUAACUACUGGAAACGGUAGCUAAUACCGCAUAACGUCGCAAGACCAAAAAGGGGGACCUUCGGGCCUCUUGCCAUCGGAUGUGCCCAGAUGGGAUUAGCUAGUAGGUGGGGUAACGGCUCACCUAGGCGACGAUCCCUAGCUGGUCUGAGAGGAUGACCAGCCACACUGGAACUGAGACACGGUCCAGACUCCUACGGGAGGCAGCAGUGGGGAAUAUUGCACAAUGGGCGCAAGCCUGAUGCAGCCAUGCCGCGUGUAUGAAGAAGGCCUUCGGGUCGUAAAGUACUUUCAGCGGGGAGGAAGGGAGUAAAGUUAAUACCUUUGCUCAUUGACGUUACCCGCAGAAGAAGCACCGGCUAACUCCGUG
rnacentral:rRNA from 1 species